rnacentral:rRNA from 1 species
GAUGAACGCUGGCGGCGUGCCUAAUACAUGCAAGUCGAGCGAACAGACGAGGAGCUUGCUCCUCUGACGUUAGCGGCGGACGGGUGAGUAACACGUGGAUAACCUACCUAUAAGACUGGGAUAACUUCGGGAAACCGGAGCUAAUACCGGAUAAUAUAUUGAACCGCAUGGUUCAAUAGUGAAAGACGGUUUUGCUGUCACUUAUAGAUGGAUCCGCGCCGCAUUAGCUAGUUGGUAAGGUAACAGCUUACCAAGGCAACGAUGCGUAGCCGACCUGAGAGGGUGAUCGGCCACACUGGAACUGAGACACGGUCCAGACUACUACGGGAGGAAGCAGUAGGGAAUCUUCCGCAAUGGGCGAAAGCCUGACGGAGCAGCGCCGCGUGAGUGAUGAAGGUCUUCGGAUCGUAAAACUCUGUUAUUAGGGAAGAACAAAUGUGUAAGUAACUAUGCACGUCUUGACGGUACCUAAUCAGAAAGCCACGGCUAACUACGUG